rnacentral:rRNA from 1 species
GACGAACGCUGGCGGCGUGCCUAAUACAUGCAAGUAGAACGCUGAAGGAGGAGCUUGCUUCUCUGGAUGAGUUGCGAACGGGUGAGUAACGCGUAGGUAACCUGCCUGGUAGCGGGGGAUAACUAUUGGAAACGAUAGCUAAUACCGCAUAAUAGUAGAUGUUGCAUGACAUUUGCUUAAAAGGUGCAAUUGCAUCACUACUAGAUGGACCUGCGUUGUAUUAGCUAGUUGGUGGGGUAACGGCUCACCAAGGCGACGAUACAUAGCCGACCUGAGAGGGUGAUCGGCCACCCUGGGACUGAGACACGGCCCAGACUCCUACGGGAGGCAGCAGUAGGGAAUCUUCGGCAAUGGACGGAAGUCUGACCGAGCAACGCCGGGGGAGGGAAGAAGGUUUUCGGAUCGUAAAGAUCUGUUGUAAGGGAAGAACGAGUGUGAGAGUGGAAAGUUCACACUGUGACGGUACCUUACCAGAAAGGGACGGCUAACUACGUG